rnacentral:rRNA from 1 species
CAAGUACCGUGAGGGAAAGUUGAAAAGAACUUUGAAGAGAGAGUUCAAUAGUACGUGAAACCGUUCGGGGGUAAACGGACAGAGCCCGUGAAUCCGGGCGCGCGGAAUUCAGGACCGAUCGGCGAACGCUUUCGGGCGUUCGCGUCGAUUCGAUAUUUCCGUCGCCGACCCUCAACCGAGGGUGUCGGACGUCGCGACCCGUUCGCCAUUUUGUCGAUGCUAAGGGACGCGUUUUCGGUUCGCCAGCGCGGUCGCCUCGGCGGUCGCGCGACGACGACGCGUUUCCGUUGUUUUCGACGCGGACGGUAGCUUUGCGCGCGGGUAUUCGACGCGGCCCUUCGCUCGGCGCUCUCGUGCGCCGGGUGGCGCUCGCGUCGACGCCGGU